UGGUUCUCGCAUCGAUGAAGAACGCAGCGAAAUGCGAUAAGUAAUGUGAAUUGCAGAAUUCAGUGAAUCAUCGAAUCUUUGAACGCACCUUGCACCCUUUGGUAUUCCAAAAGGUACAUUUGUUUGAGUGUCAUGAACACCUCAACCUCAGGCAUUUCUUGUGAAAUGUGUGAGUGCUGGAUGCUGAGUGCUGCUGUGCUUUACAGCUCGCUUCAAAUGUAUAAGCAAUCUUGACAAAGUCUCGUGUGACCCAACGUGAUAAGAUCUUUGUUGGGGAUGCCUAUGAGUGAUCUGUUCAAGUUGCUACUAAAAUUUAUGUUGUGCAUGCGCAGCUAAAUAUCUUACUUUUAGACCUCAAAUCAGAUGGGACUACCCGCUGA
rnacentral:misc_RNA from 1 species